rnacentral:rRNA from 1 species
GACGAACGCUGGCGGCGUGCUUAACACAUGCAAGUCGAACGAAGUGGCGAACGGGUGAGUAACGCGUAAUCAACCUGCCCUUCAGAGGGGGCCAACAGUUGGAAACGACUGCUCAUACCGCAUACUGAAGGAGGGGAUUGCGUCUGAUUAGCUAGUUGGAGGGGGAACGGCCCACCAAGGCGAUGAUCAGGAGCCGGGAUUGGAGGAUGAACGGCCACAUUGGGACUUAGGAACGGCCCAGACUCCUACGGGAGGCAGCAGUGGGGAAACUUCCGCAAUGGACGAAAGUCUGACGGAGCAACGCCGCGUGAGGGAUGAAGGGCUUCGGGUUGGAAAGCUCUGUUAAUCGGGACGCGGUACCGGAAUAGAAAGCCACGGCUAACUACGUGCCAGCAGCCGCGGUAAUAC